GGGCCAGGGAAGCUUGUGGAAGAAAUCCAGUGGUUAGAAAUAUUUUUUGAGUCCUGAACAAAGUUUGAUUUAGAUCUAGAGUGAGUUUUGGGCCUUUAAAAGAGGCCUGACGGCCUAGCAGCACUGUGUAGCGGCAUGGGUGAGCAGUAGGCAGUAGCAGCAGUAAAGAGCUAUGAGAGUAGCUAUAGAGAGGGUCUCUUUGGGGUUUUUGUGAGAGCUUUUAUAAGAAAUGAGUGCUUCUUAUUGAAAGAGAGAGAUUUAUGAGAGUUGAGAGUGUGAGAUCUCUUCUUGUAUUUAUUUUCUUUCAUAGUAAAGCUUUGCAUGCCCCAUGGAGGUAGGUCCUAGGCUAAUCCACGUAUUUGAUUGUAUCCCAUUUUUAUCUCUUUUUCUUUCCUGUUGCGGUGUCGACAUCAUUACCUAUGUUAGCGAUCUUAGGUGGGGGAUUCAUAUUUUGCAUUCGUGAGGAAUCCUUCCCAACACAAAUGUGGGCUAGGAUUUCUCAGGGCUAAACAUAGCAAGUUAGGUGGAUGUCACACAAAAUCUCGGUGGCCAAGAUGGAGCAAUUAUUAAGAUACUUCAUGAAGGUAUUGGAAUUUCCUGAAGAAGAGAUGGAGGAAAUGGAAAUUGGUGAAGGUGUCUCUACUGGCCUGGAGCCUCUGUCGGUGGAUCUCU
rnacentral:lncRNA from 1 species